rnacentral:rRNA from 1 species
AGAGUUUGAUCCUGGCUCAGAACGAACGCUUGUGGUAUGCUUAACACAUGCAAGUCGAACGAGUAUCUCUGUUGCUUGCAACGGAGAGAGAAGUGGCAAACGGGUGAGUAAUACGUAAGAAUCUACCUUUCAGUGGGGGACAACUAUGGGAAACUAUAGCUAAUACCGCAUACGCUCCGCAAGGAGGAAAGAUUUAUCGCUGAAAGAUGAGCUUGCGCCAGAUUAGAUAGUUGGUGGGGUAAUGGCCUACCAAGUCGAUGAUCUGUAGCUGGUCUGAGAGGAUGAUCAGCCACACUGGGACUGAGAUACGGCCCAGACUCCUACGGGAGGCAGCAGUGAGGAAUAUUGGACAAUGGGGGAAACCCUGAUCCAGCAAUACCACGUGAAUGAUGAAGGCCCUAGGGUUGUAAAGUUCUUUUACCUGAGAAGAUGAUGACGUUAUCAGGAGAAUAAGUCCCGGCUAACUUUGUGCCAGCAGCCGCGGUAAUACAAGGGGGACGAGUGUUGUUCGGAAUUAUUGGGCGUAAAGGGUGUGUAGGCGGUUUUUCAAGUAAGAUGUGAAAUCUCUAAGCUUAACUUAGAAACUGCAUCUUAAACUGAAUGACUAGAGUAUGGAAGAGGAAAGUGGAAUUCCUAAUGUAGAGGUGAAAUUCGUAGAUAUUAGGAAGAAGGCCAGAGGCGAAGGCGACUUUCUGGUACAUUACUGACGCUGAGACACGAAAGCGUGGGGAGCAAACAGGAUUAGAGACCCUGGUAGUCCACGCCCUAAACGAUGAAUGCUAAUUGUCGGGAUCCGUCCCGGUGAUGCAGCUAACGCGGUAAGCAUUCCGCCUGAGGACUACGAUCGCAAGAUUAAAACUUAAGGGAAUUGACGGGGGCUCGCACAAGCGGUGGAGCAUGUGGUUUAAUUCGAAAGUACGCGACGAACCUUACCAGCCUUUGACACAUAGACAGACACACCUAGCAAUAGGAGUGGCACUUCGGGUGGGUCUAUACAGGUGUUGCACGUCCGUCGUCAGCUCGUGUCGUGUAUGUCGGGUUAAGUCCUUUAACGAGCGCAACCCCCAUUCUUAGUUGCUAUAUUUAGUACUUUAAGAAAACUGCCAUCGACAAGAUGGAGGAAGGUGGGGACGACGUCAGGUACCGUGGCCUUUAUAGGCUGGGCUACACACGUGCUACAAUGGUGAUUACAAAUAGAAGCAAUAGGGCGACCUGGAGCAAAUCUGUAAAAGUCAUCUCAGUUCGGAUUGUUCUCUGCAACUCGAGAGCAUGAAGUUGAAAUCGCUAGUAAUCGUAGAUCAGAACGCUACGGUGAAUACGUUCACGAGCCUUGUACACACCGCCCGUCAAGCCAUGGGAGUUGGUAUAUCUUGAAUGCAGUGUUCUAACCCUUUUGGGAAGUAUCUGUUUAUAGAUGUACUAGCGACUGGGGUUAAGUCGUAACAAGGUA